UCCUGUUACAGUUCUUUAAUAAUUUGUCUAGAAGGUCCUCCAGUCUGUACUGGAAGCCCUCC
ensembl:snRNA U7 U7 small nuclear RNA